rnacentral:rRNA from 1 species
AUUGAACGCUGGCGGCAUGCCUUACACAUGCAAGUCGAACGGCAGCACGGGAGCAAUCCUGGUGGCGAGUGGCGAACGGGUGAGUAAUAUAUCGGAACGUGCCCAGUCGUGGGGGAUAACGUAGCGAAAGCUACGCUAAUACCGCAUACGAUCUAUGGAUGAAAGCGGGGGAUCGCAAGACAUCGCGCGAUUGGAGCGGCCGAUAUCAGAUUAGGUAGUUGGUGAGGUAAAGGCUCACCAAGCCGACGAUCUGUAGCUGGUCUGAGAGGACGACCAGCCACACUGGGACUGAGACACGGCCCAGACUCCUACGGGAGGCAGCAGUGGGGAAUUUUGGACAAUGGGCGCAAGCCUGAUCCAGCAAUGCCGCGUGCAGGAUGAAGGCCUUCGGGUUGUAAACUGCUUUUGUACGGAGCGAAAAGGCUUCCACUAAUACUGGGGGCUCAUGACGGUACCGUAAGAAUAAGCACCGGCUAACUACAUGCCAGCCGCCGCGGUAAUAC